UUAAGAGCUUGCUCUUAUGAAGUUAGCGGCGGACGGGUGAGUAACACGUGGGUAACCUACCCAUAAGACUGGGAUAACUCCGGGAAACCGGGGCUAAUACCGGAUAAUAUUUUGAACUGCAUAGUUCGAAAUUGAAAGGCGGCUUCGGCUGUCACUUAUGGAUGGACCCGCGUCGCAUUAGCUAGUUGGUGAGGUAACGGCUCACCAAGGCAACGAUGCGUAGCCGACCUGAGAGGGUGAUCGGCCACACUGGGACUGAGACACGGCCCAGACUCCUACGGGAGGCAGCAGUAGGGAAUCUUCCGCAAUGGACGAAAGUCUGACGGAGCAACGCCGCGUGAGUGAUGAAGGCUUUCGGGUCGUAAAACUCUGUUGUUAGGGAAGAACAAGUGCUAGUUGAAUAAGCUGGCACCUUGACGGUACCUAACCAGAAAGCCACGGCUAACUACGUGCCAGCAGCCGCGGUAAUACGUAGGUGGCAAGCGUUAUCCGGAAUUAUUGGGCGUAAAGCGCGCGCAGGUGGUUUCUUAAGUCUGAUGUGAAAGCCCACGGCUCAACCGUGGAGGGUCAUUGGAAACUGGGAGACUUGAGUGCAGAAGAGGAAAGUGGAAUUCCAUGUGUAGCGGUGAAAUGCGUAGAGAUAUGGAGGAACACCAGUGGCGAAGGCGACUUUCUGGUCUGUAACUGACACUG
rnacentral:rRNA from 1 species